rnacentral:sRNA from 1 species
AAUGAUGUAUCUUGGCAGCAAUGCCAGGU